GGCGCCGGUGUUUGGCACUCCAGGCUUCCGGGAGGGGGUUCAAAUCCCUAUAGGUCC
rnacentral:snRNA from 1 species